CGUGAGCGCGCGGCGCCCGAUGAUGCGGACGGAUGCCCAGCGCGUGCGUUACAGGAGAUCCCACAACUUGCUUUCUGAGCAAACUGACAAGCUUCUGAGAAAUAACACCAACUGGGUGAAAGCGGGGCCAGUGAGCGAUGGACAGGCUACGUCCCAGCGCGGGUCCACUGCUGGGCUACUGUUGCUGCCGUUAAUGCCCUCUGCCAGCCUCCCUCCAUCACUUUCAGCCACUGCAGCUACAGCUUAAUGAAUACAGAUGACUGUAAGCUUCCCAUGCUAGGAGGGGCUCUUAAAGUUUCACAGCACCAUUGGUUUGCUGUGUGGUGAGGCAACGGGUGCAAAUGUGCACCUUGACUUUUGGAGCAUGGAGUCUAUGUUCCCUGUAGUUUUACACCAGCUCCUGUGCCCAGAGUACCAGAGCACAGGUACGCAGGUCAGGGUGGCCUGAUCGUGGUGCAAAGCCAUAUGCACGCUGCAGAUGUUGUAUGGAACAGCUGUCAAGAACACCCCUAUCUUAGCAAGUGAUUAAGUGGGAGCAGCAUUUUGCUUCAUACUCAGAUUGCACCCCUGUCACUAGGCUUUAUAAUCAGAGAACUAUAUCUAAGCUCCACACUGCAAGUCAUCAGUGGAUUUUUAACACAAACGGAUAAAAGAUUGUUUUAUAGAAGAUGCUGCAGAUGUUUCAGUAACAGUAUAAUAUCACAGCUGAAGAGCAUAAGAAGACAUUUCAAUAUUUUUUGCAACUGGUAUUAUAAUGCUUAAUAUUUUAUACACACUGUAUGUCCUAAAAUGUUCUAUCAUAUUUGCUCAGUAAGUUUCCAGCACAUCUGGAGAAAGUAUAUAUGCCCAAGAUAAAGCUGGGCCAACUGUUCUUAAAUUCAUUCUGGAUCAGUUCUUGACAGUGAUGAUUUAUAUAUUCACUGUAUAUGUAAAUGUUCAUUCAGCACAGGGGAAAAUUAUUUCAGUCCUUGUGUUCCAAUUAGUACUUGAUUACUAGUGGAUUAAGUAUAACUGCAGCCAAAAAUGAGAGCUGUCCUUGGCUGAUUUGUGAGAAGAGUCACACUGAUUCAGUGCUAUUAAAAACAAUUCCACAAGAAUUCA